GCAUUCGUGGUGUAGUGGUCAGCACGCUCGGCGUGUAUUCGAGAGGCCCGAGGUUCGAUUCCCAGCGAGAGCA
rfam:Stegodyphus mimosarum contig92747, whole genome shotgun sequence.